CAACCGGCCCUUUUCAGGGCCACCAAUCAAUAAAACGUUGGGAAUU
rfam:Trichomalopsis sarcophagae strain Alberta scaffold5850, whole genome shotgun sequence.